rnacentral:lncRNA from 1 species
GAGGCUAUAAGCAAUCAUGCAUAUAAGAGAUCAAAGAAACUCAAAUAACUUUCAUGGAUAUAAAAAGAUAGAUCUGAUCAUAAACUCAAAGUUCAUCCGAUCCCAACAAACACACCGUAAAAAGAGUUACAUCAGAUGGAUCUCUAGGAGACCAUUGUAUUGAGAAUCAUUUGAGAGAGAGGAAGCCAUCUAGCUACUAACUACGGACCCGAAGGUCUACAGAGAACUACUGACGCAUCAUCGGAGAGGCACCAAUGGAAGUGGUGAACCCCUCUGUGAUGGUGUCUAGAUUGGAUCUGGUGGUUCUGGACUCUGCGGCGUCUGGAAUUGAUUUUCUUCGACUCCCCUACGGUUUCUGGAAUAUUGGGGUAUUUAUACACCAAAGAGGCGGUCUAGGGGGCACCCGAGGUGGGCACAACCCACCAGGGUGCGCCUGGGCCUCCUGGCGCGCCCUGGUGGGUUGUGCUCCCCUCGGAGCACCCCCAGGCGCUGCCUUGGCCCAUUGGGUGUCUUGUGGUCCGUAAAAAAUCUCCGUGAAGUUUUGUUGCAUUUGGACUCUGUUUGGUAUUGAUUUCCUGUGAUGUAAAAAACAUGCAGAAAACAUCAACUGGCACUUGGCGCUAUGUUAAUAGGUUAGUACCAAAAAAUGAUAUAAAAUGACUAUAAAAUGAUUAUAAAACAUCCAAGAUUGAUAAUAUAACAUCAUGGAAUAAUAAAAAUUAUAGAUACGUUGGAGACGUAUCAUAAGCAUAUAACCAACUGGAUGCAAAGUAACAUGCAUAGCAACGGUACUUGAUAAUAGACGGUAAACAUGCAUCAGAAAGAACACCACUGCUACCAGCAUGAACUACUACUAUGGAGCAUAACAUGUGAUAAUAAUACUAGCAAGUAAUACAAGAUAACAAAAUGCAUCGGAACAUAGUAUGAAGGUUUACAUGAAACCACGGGCAUAACCGAAACAACGACAAUAGUAGCAAACAAGCAGAUAGAUAACAUGCAAACUUUUAUUAAAUAUUCAAGUAGAAACCAUGGCUACUGCAUGGCUAUCAUGCAAGUGGCUGUUGUCGCUUUCCUGGGGGUGACGGAGACUCUGGGAAGAAGUGCGGUGAAGCCGCGGAACGAAACGUCGGGCGGUUCUCUUUCGGAGGGGGCUGAUUAGAGGCAAGGGCAUAAUGGUCAUUUUCACAGUGUGAACACCUUAUGAGAAUGGCACCAACAGAAAGAUCUCGACGAGACAAAGAAGUGAGCGUUGGUUUCACCUCAAUCGGAGUUACGGUCGCGAAGUUAUGAGGUGUAGAAGAUUAGGGACUUUUCUGUAAAAAGAAUAUUCACAGCCGGGUCCCUGAGUGGAUAAGACAGAGGCGCAUGUAAGGGAAUACGCUUUCCGGACAGGAAAACGUACUUUGGACCGAUCAUGAGAAGUUGUUAUGAGAAAGACAAAACGCACUCUCGUGGACUACGUCUCCACUUGCCACUUCAGCAGCGGUGGGGCUGGGCACCGGGGUCGCUUACAGGUGGGGUCCAGGGUUACGCGGGGCCCACCUGGCUUGGCUCCUUCUUCUUCCUCCUGUUUCUCCCGAUCGGGAACAGAGGCAGGGAAGGGGAG